rnacentral:SRP_RNA from 1 species
CCGUACUAGACGGGGAGUUAGCGGUGCCCUGUAACCCGCAACCCGCUACAGCGGGGUCGAACACCGCGCCGAGGGUUGCGUUUGUGAGGUAUGGAGCAGAUAGGGAGACGUUGACGGAUGGGUCCUGUGCAAUGCAGCACUGUGAACCUUGUCAGGUCCUGACGGAAGCAGCAAUAAGCGGUACGCUGCGUGUGCCGCAGGGAUGCCUGUUCUGAGUCGCCCGUCUGAAUCCCUCUUGUAGAUUGCGAUUCGAAGCGCGGCCGUAUGG